AUGAAGUCAAAGGCACUCCUGCUAUGGAUGCUAAUGCUCGGGGUUCUGGUUUCCACUGGGGACGUUGUGUUGACCCAGUCUCCAGGUUUGCUGUCUGUGUCUCUGGGACAAAAGGUCACCAUCUCUUGCAAGUCCAGUGAGAGUGUCAAUAACUAUGUUACAAAUAUUAUACAAUGGUAUCAACAGAAACCAGGACAGUCUCCCAAACUCCUCAUCUAUUAUGCAGUCAACCUAGCUUCUGGGUUCCCUGAUAGGUUCAGAGGCAGUGGGUCUGGGACAGAUUUCACCGUCACCAUUAAUCCUGUGGAGGCUGCUGCUGCUGCAACCUAUUACUGUCAGCAGGGUAAGAAGUUUCCUUCCACAGUGCUCCAGGGCUGAAUAAAAAUCUCCUGGGCUUACUGCUCACUGAGGCUCAGUCUCUCAGCUGUCUCUUA